CGCGUAGGCGGCUUGGCAAGUCAGAUGUGAAAGCCUCGGGCUUAACCCGGGAAUUGCAUCUGAAACUGCCUUGCUUGAGUCCUGGAGGGGGUAGUGGAAUUCCCAGUGUAGCGGUGAAAUGCGUAGAUAUUGGGAGGAACACCUGCGGCGAAGGCGGCUACCUGGACAGUGACUGACGCUGAGGCGCGAAAGCUAGGGGAGCGAACG
rnacentral:rRNA from 1 species